rnacentral:tRNA from 1 species
GCCUGGGUGGCUCAGUCGGUUGGGCAUCUGACUUUGGCUCAGAUCAUGAUCUCACAGUUUGUGAGUUUGAGCCCCACAUCGGGCU